GAUGAAGAACGUAGCGAAAUGCGAUAAGUAGUGUGAAUUGCAGAAUUCAGUGAAUCAUCGAAUCUUUGAACGCACAUUGCGCCCCUUGGUAUUCCAUGGGGCAUGCCUGUUCGAGCGUCAUUUGUACUCUCAAGCUAAGCUUGGUGUUGGGUGUUUGUCCACUCCCUUGUGUUUGGACUCGCCUUAAAACAAUUGGCAGCCAGUGUUUUGGUAUUGAAGCGCAGCACAAUUUGCGAUUCUAGCCUAGAAUACUAGCAAACAUCAAGUCAUUUUUAACGCUUGACCUCGGAUCAGGUAGGGAUACCCGCUGAACUUAAGCAUAUCAAUAAGCGGAGGA
rnacentral:misc_RNA from 1 species